GGUAAAUCAUGUCAGUUCCUAUAGAGGACAGAUUAAAACUAAAGUGUUUUAUAAAAUUAUUAUUCCUAUAUUGUAUAACAAAAAGCAUAAUUUUGUCUAGAAAUUUGGCUUUUGUCUCUCAGUAUUUACAAGCAUGAAUAACUCCCAACUAUUAAAAAAAUGGUCUAAAGAUUUUUCAAUGUCAGACUAAAAGUUGGUGGCCGCUAUCCAAGAAACCAGAAAAACCAGUUUAGAAUGGGACCCCAACCUGGAGGACUCUCCCAAGGAGACCAAUGAAGCUGCAUCUUUGGGAACUUCCUCCAGGGAAAAAUAAACCCCCUUCGUUUGUCUAUGUUCCCUCAACUCUUUUCAGCUUUCAUGAACAGGACCACCUCAGGAAAAAGAAGUGCUCACCCCAGGUGAAUUUACAUCCUGUUCUUCCUGAGCCAGAUUUUUACCAUGGACUCCUUGACCCACUCGGUUUCUAAAAAGGGACUCCAAAACUGCUUGCCCACUGCACAUCACCCCCCUUUCAGCUGGAAGUAGCAAGAAUGGUCAUCGCCCUUUUCCCUUAUGGCAGUUGGAGGUCCCUAAUAUUAAAAAAAAAUUACGGUCAACAUAGAUGUUCGCCAAUGUCUAGCUCAGGAAGAUGUACCUGGGAAACUACUCCCAAGAUCACCCAUAAAGAGACACUUGCUUCCGCAACCCAACUUAUAAGUGGGACAACUCCCCAUUCACCAAAAAUUGUGCUUCUCGGUUCCCACUUUGAACUCCUUGACUAAAUCUCCAAACUGUCAAUAACUCUGAACUAUGUAACUUACUAUUUUGAUGGAGUAAAAGAAAAAGAACACCUGGACUUAUUAAAAGGCCAGACCCCACUGAUUUAUCAACAUAGACUGGCUACCCCCAUUUUAGUUCCCCUCCUGGCUGGUAUCUACUGCUUUGGGAACUACAGCUCUUAUCACAAGCUCUAAAAAUUUUAAGUCCCUCAGCCAUCAAAUAAAUAUAGAUUUAGAAAAACUAGAAAGGUCAAUCUCCAAACUAGAGGUUUCACUAGACUCUCUGACAGAAAUAGUCUUACAAAACAGAUGAGGUCUAGAUGGUCUCUUUCUGAAACAAGGAAGACUUUGUAUGGCUCCAGUAGAAACUUGUUUCUCUAUGCAAACCAGUCUGGGAUAAUAAAGUACAGUUUGGUGCUUGUGAAAAACAGGUUAAAUGAAAGAGAUAAAACACUAGAAACUUCAGGAAAUUGGUUCCAAAAUCUAUUCUCAUGGUCCCCUUAGUUGACUACCAUCAUUUCAGCCAUAGUUGGGCCCCUAGUCCUUCACCUGAUUGGUAUUACUGUAGGACCCUGCCUCUUAAAAACCCUCCUAAACCAUACACACAAAAGAAUGUAGAUGGGGUCAGACUUAUGGUCUUGAGAGCCCAGUAUAGUCCCUUAGACACAGAAGGAUGAAACAAAAACUGAGGCCUAAUGAUGUGCAAGAUUGACAUCAAACCUACUAAAACCAGUGGGGAAUGUGAUAGUAGGAGCAAAUGUGACUCCAUUUUGUUUUAUGACUUCAUCCUGUAAAACAACCAUGCCAAGUAGAAGAGUCAUGACUAGAGCAAGGUGUUCUUUUCCUUUUGCUAUAGAAACCUUUAAGAACAUGGAACUACCUAAUGGGGUAUUGUUUCUGUAACUAGGGUAACGGGGCUCUGUUUCUGUAACUGGGGUGACUGGGCUAACUGUGAUUGGUUAGUCUUCCCUCCGCUUGACUGCACUGUCCCACUUCUGUAACCUGGCUUGCUUGCAUUGGCUAGACCCCCCCGAACAUCCCUUUUGCGGUUUUCAGGCUUAUAAGGAGUGCCCUUGCAAUUGUUCAGGGCUGAUAAGGGGAACAGCUUUAUGUUCUGGUCAGCCACCACCGGUGUGCUUCAAUAAAGGCUUGAUUCGAUUAUA